GUAGAAAAUAUAUAUUUGACAGGGGUUUGACUGACGGAAGAUAAGGGGGCAGUAGUAGGCGAGAAAGACCUGCGUAUGAAUCGAAAUUGAAGUUACUUUUUGUAUGUCGGUCACAUUUUUUUUUUGUGACUGGUGCCGCGAGUGGAAUCGUAUGUGAUGAUUAAUUCGGAAAGACACAGCAACAGGGCAUAGAACUACAGGAUGUCGCGGACAGUUUCAGUUUUUUGGAUGGGGAAGCACGACUAGAACAGUAAAACGCAACGCGGAAAAUAUUUAAAAGGGAUAAUGCGAAUGGUUAGAAGAGAUCGAAUUCAAACAAAAUGGAAACAAUGUAGCAUCGCUGCGGCAUUCCAUAUAGCUAUAAGCACUACUAGAGUAGAAAAUAGAGAGCUAGUUAACAAAUAUAAAGGCAACGUUACUUAUUUAUCAGAAAAGCUCAAACAGAGUAUAGUAAACUGGUUUAAAUAAAAAUAGUUCGUUGGUGUCCCCAGCUACCAAAGAAGAAAAAACUCAAAUAUGCUACGGAGAAGACUGAACCGUUUGUUUGGUAGGGACGAGAGGAGGGUAGACAGCAGGACCAUCUACGUAGGCCACCGGCCCUGUCCCGCCACCGACGCUUUCAUCCCCCCAAAGUUCUGUGACAACAGGAUUGUCUCUUCCAAGUACACGGUGUGGAACUUCCUGCCAAAGAAUCUGUUUGAACAGUUCAGAAGAAUCGCCAAUUUCUACUUCCUCAUCAUCUUUUUGGUGCAGGUGAUUGUAGACACCCCCACCAGCCCAGUCACUAGUGGCCUGCCAUUGUUCUUCGUCAUCACAGUAACAGCCAUUAAACAGGGUUAUGAGGACUGGCUGCGGCACAAGGCAGACAAUGAGGUGAAUAAGUACCCGGUGACGGUGCUGGAGGACGGCCGGAGAGCACGCAAGGAGAGCGAGAAGAUCAAGGUCGGGGAUGUGGUGGAGGUGGUGGAGGAUGAGACCUUUCCCUGUGACCUCAUCCUGCUGCAGUCCAGCCGGGAGGACGACACCUGCUUUGUCACCACGGCCAGUCUGGACGGGGAGUCCAACCAUAAGACACACUACACAGUGCCAGACACAGAGAAGGGCCUGGAGUCUCUCAGCGCCACCGUGGAGUGCGAGCAGCCGCAGCCUGACCUCUACAAGUUUGUGGGGCGUAUGCACAUCUACAAGAAUGACCAGGAGCCUGCUGUGAGGUCUUUGGGUCCUGAGAAUCUCCUCCUGAAAGGCGCUACCUUGAAGAAUACUCAGAAGAUUUAUGGAGUUGCAGUGUACUCUGGCAUGGAAACCAAAAUGGCUCUGAACUACCAGGGGAAGUCCCAGAAGCGAUCUGUGGUGGAGAAAUCUAUCAAUGCCUUCCUGCUGGUGUACCUGUGUAUCCUGGUGAGCAAGGCCCUGGUGUGCACCACGCUCAAAUACGUGUGGCAGAGCCAACCAGGCCAGGAAGAGCCCUGGUACAACCAGAAGACGCAGAAGGAGAAAGAUGCCAACCUGUACCUGAAUAUGUUUACUGACUUCCUGUCGUUCAUGGUGCUGUUCAACUUCAUCAUCCCCGUGUCCAUGUACGUGACGGUGGAGAUGCAAAAGUUCCUGGGCUCCUUCUUCAUCUCCUGGGACAAGGACUUCUUCGACCCCGAGAUCCAGGAAGGGGCUCUGGUCAACACCUCUGACCUCAACGAGGAGCUAGGACAGGUGGAGUAUGUGUUCACGGACAAGACGGGCACUCUGACCCAGAACAGCAUGGAGUUCAUCGAGUGCUGCAUCGACGGCUUCCAGUACAAGAAUCGUGACUCGAGUACCGAGCUGGACGGCUUCUGUGUCACAGAUGGACCCGUGAGCAUGCUGCAGCAGAAGGCUGGCAGGGAGGAGGAGGAGCUGUUCCUGCGGGCUCUGUGUUUGUGCCACACGGUGCAGGUCAAGGAGUCUACGGGUCAGGAGGACGGCGUUGGGGACCGGGUGGACGGCGUGCUGGACGGAGAGAUGGUCCACCCUGCAGAGCUCAGGGGCUUCAUCGCCUCCUCACCCGACGAGGUGGCACUGGUCAAGGGAGCCAUGAAGUAUGGUUUCACGUUCUUAGGUAUGGAGAGCAAGAACAUGAGAGUGAUGAACAGAGAGAAAGAUGUUGAAACGUACGAGCUGCUUCAUGUGUUGAACUUUGACCCCGUGAGAAGGCGUAUGAGCGUAAUAGUCCGAUCCAAAUGCGGGGACAUCAUGCUGUUCUGUAAGGGGGCCGACUCCUCCAUCUUCCCCCGUGUCAGGCAGGAGGAGGUGGACAGGAUACACAUGCACGUGGAGCGCAACGCUACGGAAGGCUACCGGACGCUGUGUGUGGCCUACAAGCUGCUGAGUUCUGAAGAGUACGCCCAGGCAGACGCAGGGCUGAGGGAAGCCAGGCUGGCCCUGGAUGACCGAGAGGAGAAACUCAUGGCUGUCUACAACCAGGUGGAGACUGGGAUGAGCCUGAUCGGAGCUACCGCUGUGGAGGACAGGUUGCAGGAGGAGGCAGCAGAGACAAUGGAGGCCCUGCAGAGGGCUGGCAUGAAGGUGUGGGUUCUUACGGGGGACAAGAUGGAGACGGCCAAGUCCACGUGCUACGCCUGCCGGCUGUUCCAGAGGGGCACGGAGCUGCUGGAACUGACGGUGCGAACCCUGGAGGACGGCGGGAGGAGGAGAGAAGAGCGCCUGCAUGAGGUGCUGUUAGACUACCACAAGAGGGCAGUGCAGGACGCUCCACCGGUUAAGACUGGGGUCACCAGGAGCUGGUCUUCAGCUAAGCAGGACUACGGCUUCAUCAUAGACGGAGCCACUCUGUCCUUAGUGUUCAACGCCUCUCCUGACUCCAGCCACUACAAGAGUCUGUUACUCCAGAUCUGUCAGAACUGUACCACUGUUCUGUGCUGCCGUAUGGCUCCCCUACAGAAGGCCCAGAUCGUGAACAUGGUGAAGAACUCUAAAGGCAGCCCUAUUACCCUCUCCAUCGGAGAUGGAGCCAACGAUGUCAGUAUGAUCCUGGAGGCACACAUUGGCAUCGGUAUAAAAGGUAAAGAGGGUCGCCAGGCAGUGAGGAACAGUGACUAUGCCAUCCCUAAACUCAAGCACCUGAAGAAACUGUUACUAGGACACGGGCACCUCUACUACGUUCGGAUCGCCCACCUGGUGCAAUACUUCUUCUACAAGAACCUCUGCUUCAUCUUACCUCAGUUCUUGUACCAGUUUUUCUGUGGAUCUUCCCAGCAACCCCUCUACGACGCAGCCUAUCUGACGAUGUACAACAUCUGUUUCACCUCAAUGCCUAUCCUGGCCUACAGCCUCUUGGAGCAGCACAUCUGCAUGGAGGUCCUGAUGAGCAACGCCACCCUCUACAGGGACGUAGCAAAGAACGCCAUGUUGCGUUGGGGCCCCUUCCUGUACUGGACCCUACUUGGGGUCUACCAGGGCCUCCUGUUCUUCUUUGGGGUCCGCUUUCUCUUUAGUAACCCCGCCCUGCAGGACAAUGGCCAGGUGUUUGGGAAUUGGACGUAUGGAACAAUUGUUUUUACUGUCCUUGUCUUCACCGUUACGCUAAAGCUGGCUAUGGACACGCGCCAUUGGACGUGGAUCAAUCACUUUGUCAUCUGGGGCUCGCUGGCGUUCUACAUGGUCUUCAGCUUCUUCUGGGGUGGGAUCAUAUGGCCCUUCCUUCGGCAGCAGCGUCUCUACUUUGUGUUUGCUAACAUGCUGCGCUCUGUGUCGGCCUGGCUGGUCAUCAUCCUCCUCAUCCUGCUCAGCCUGCUGCCUGAGAUCCUGCUGCUGGUCCUCCGCAAGCCGCGCUGGCCCCGUUCACGACAGAUCAAGCAACGACUUCCUUCGUCGGGAACGUCCACUAUCUUCAUGCUGUCGCAGACCGCCAGCACUCACAGCUACUCCUGGAGUGACUGAGGUCUCUCUCUCUGUAUGCUCUUUACCUCCUUUCUCUCCUCCUAUCUAUCCUGUCCUGCUUGUCAGAUUCCUCCCUCUUCCUGCCUGACUCAGGUGGCAUCCUAUAACAUCCAGCUUCCACCCUCCCUUGACAGCCUUCAGAGGACGGACUCCUACAGACAUCCAGAUCGCUGCCGUCACGCCCUUGUCCUACAAGCAUCUGAAGGAGCGGGAGUAAAGGGCACAAAGGAGGAUCAACUACCCUGCGGCCAGCGUCUUUCAGGAGCCCAUGGCACUCUGGCUGCCUGAACUUUUGCCUGAUCUUAAAUGGAAAACAACUCAAAGAAAACAACAUAAUAGAAAUGAUAAAAGACCCAGGGAUGACUCCAGCAGUGUUUUGAGUACCUCUGUUCCACUGCUCCCUCCGUCCUUCCCCCUCUUCCUGUUUCCCUCUGCAUGUCUGCAGUGCAGAUUGCUGCACCAACGGCCCACGCAGCACAAGCCAUUUUUACCACGUUUUUACUGGACUGUUCAAACAUGAGAGGCAUGAGUUUCCGGAGUUUAUUUUUCUUUCCUUUUUUGAAUACCACGAUAGCGGGGGGAAAAAAUGCGUACACGGCUGCCUUGUCAGAAGUACUCCUACGGUCGGCUGUGUUCUAACAUGCAGCCACACCUCCACUGUCCCAGAAUGAUUCAUCUGCAUGAAACUAAGAAGGCUUCAUGAAUGCCACAUUCCACUUGUUAUUUGUAUUUUUCUGGCAGCUUUGUAUUAUUUUUUUUUUUCAAGCAAAUGUCACUAACUUUCUGAAACAAAAAUUCCAGUGCACCAGAUCCAAAUCAUAGUUUAUAAGUUACAUGAUUCCAAUCCAGUCAAGUCCAACGCAAAGAGAGCAUAUUCACUCAGUGCAGACUGCACUGAACACAGGUUACUGGAUAUCUUCAAAGUGUCUUUGCCUUGAAUACUGAGUGUUUAGAGCACAACCCCCUACUGGGUUAAGUCUCUAUUUUCCCAUCUCCCCAAAGUGUGUGAUGAAUCAAAAUGACUGGUAAUGAGUUGUGCUUGCCAACAUUUCUACCUGGUUCGAAGUUUGUAGCAUGACUUGAAUCUUCCCACCUUAAGGCCGGUGAUCGUUUAAGAAAAUCCCAAUUGUAUUGAAAGGUAAUAUAUGUGCCGUAUAUCGCUUAACCUGUUUGAAUAUCUAAAGCUUGAUGCCAAAAAUGUGUCUGAGCUGGGGAGAUGCAAGUGUCAUGCCCAGCGCCGUCCAAAUGAUUGCAAGCUAUGUUGCUGAGAGUGUGUGUGUGUGUAUCUGUGCCCAACAGCACAAUUGUACUGGAUGGGAAUCAUGGCCUCAAAGCAGCCUGUGUGUGUGUUACAUUGAGACACUUACAGCGUUUAACCAGAAUACCUGGGUCUACCUUGUACAUUUAGCAUCUGGUUGUCAUGACCUGUCCUCUAAAGGACUUCAGGAGUUCUGUGGACUUUCCUUUGGGCAGGUGGUCACAAAGGCACAUUGGUAUAUGCCCACACACACACACACACACACACACACACACACACACGAAUGUGCACACACCUAUGGAUCCAAACAUGCACUAAAAGCCUAAAAUGAGUGAUAUAUGUCCCAUUACCAGUUAGUGUUGUUUGUCAAAGGUGUGCUGAUGUUGGUGGGUAAAGAUCCCAACUUCAGACUUCCUCUUUCUUGUCACCAUAGGUAAUGCCACUGUGAGGCUUUCUACCCACCUGCUACCAUAGAUGUUCAUGUAUCUCCAUUUACGAUAUCUGAGAUGGGUUUCAGAAAGUAGGUUCUGACUUCUAGCGUUAGUGCUUCAUACAUUCCAUUUCUACAUGCCAUGAUUUGAAUCACUUUUAGACACUAUAUGGGAAGAUGUUUUGGAACAUGUAAAAAUCUAUUUGACAUAUUUAUUAUUCUGUGUAAUUUCUCACAAAUUUCUAUAUUUUUAUUACAUGAAUCUUUUUUGUUGUUGUAGCGAAUGAUCAGCUUUGUGCUUCUUCAGUAUGCCUGUGUUACUUCAGACCAGAUGUGUGCCCAGUGCUAUCCCAUAUCAUCUGUAUCUCACACACACACACACACACACACACACCCUGCAGGUAUAUCCUACCUUACACCUCUACUAUACCCUCUCCCUCCACCGGUCUGGUCGCAGGUCAGAUCACAGAGCACUGGUUAGAUCAGUUCAGUCAUAUCCAGGCUUGGAAUGGAGCUUCUUCUAUGUUUGCCACAGAGGGAUAUGCCUGGGAGUAGGUGCUCUAUUGGCACCUCUUUAGUCUCUUUUUUUUUUUUUAAAUGCCAUAACAGGUCAUGUACAGCCCUCAUGUAGCUACUAUUACAGUAUCUCCUCAUAUGAUUAGCAUCACUGAUGGUUGUAGUUCUUAAGUUGUAGUUCCUUAGUCCAGAUGGGCUCCAUUCCAGCUCCUUAGUGGUUGGAGAUGCUGUAAUAGCUACAUGAGGGCUGUUCAUGACCUGUGACAUACUGAGCAUGUGCAGCCUGGUGCCCCCUCCCCUCUAUCACACUUGGCAGAAUUCAAGACAUGGCUCCCAUGCCAAAUGUUAUGUACUGUACUUCCAUCAGCCUCAUAUUUUUUUUAAUCUUUACCUUUUAUUUAACUAGGCAAGUCAGUUAAGGACAAAUUCUUAUUUUCAAUAACUGCCUGCAUCACAUACUGUACCAUCUUGUGGAGGAGAAAAUGAUAUAUUUACCUUGACUUCAAGGGUCUAGAGUUUCCAGAGGGUUGUCUACACCAGAUAGCUGUAAUCCAGGGAACUCCUUGUAACGUUUCCUUUUGAAACACUAAAGCUAUGAGGAGUAUGGACUGUGCUCAGACCAACGUGAAGACGCCGUUGGACUUUCGCCUACCUGGGCUCUGUGUCCUAGGUCAGCGGGUAGGAGGAGGACUUUCUGUAUGUUUUAAAAAAACAAAAACAAACCUUUAACAUUUACAUCAGAGAUGCUAUUUUAAAAUGCUUUAAAGUAUUGGAUACUCAUGUUUUGCCUCACAAAAUAAGUAAAAUAAUUGAUUGUAUUUUAAAUGCAACCUUUUUCCAGCCACUUUUGUAAGAAUAAUCAAAACGUCCCAAAAAAGCACGAGGCUGGGUGAAUGUGGGGAAUGACCCUGUCCGCGGGUGACUGCUGUGGUGGGGUGCCUUAGUUUCAGACAGGCACAAAAUGGGCACUUCACAUCUGGCCCCUCAGUCUCCAGCCUCGGCACUCUGAACCUCCGAUCUGAAUGUACCACUUUAAGACCAGUAUGUUCAACACAGUUUUUCUGCAAUAAAACACUGUUUUGAAGAAAACUU